rnacentral:rRNA from 1 species
AGAGCGAACGCUGGCGGCAUGCUUAACACAUGCAAGUCGCACGGGCACUUCGGUGUCAGUGGCGGACGGGUGAGUAACGCGUAGGUAUCUAUCCUUGGGUGGGGGACAACGGUUGGAAACGACUGCUAAUACCGCAUAAUAACUGAGGUUUAAAGGCGCAAGUCGCCUGAGGAGGAGCCUGCGUACGAUUAGCUAGUUGGUGGGGUAAAGGCCUACCAAGGCGACGAUCGUUAGCUGGUCUGAGAGGAUGAUCAGCCACAUUGGGACUGAGACACGGCCCAAACUCCUACGGGAGGCAGCAGUGGGGAAUAUUGGACAAUGGGCGAAAGCCUGAUCCAGCAAUGCCGCGUGUGUGAAGAAGGUCUUCGGGAUUGUAAAGCACUUUCGACAGGGACGAUGAUGACGGUACCUGUAGAAGAAGCCCCGGCUAACUUCGUGCCAGCAGCCGC